UUGAGCUGUAACAAAACAAAUUAUCUGAUGAAGCUGCAACCAUGAGAAUAGGAAAGGAUGUCAAGUCUAAAGAAAAGGCAAUAUAACAAAUGGUUGCUGAAUUCAUGAAGACUAGCUGGGAUGAUACAGUACUUUUCUACUCUUAUGAACCAUAUCUAAACAUCAUUUGAGGAUCCCUUUGUCAGAAAAAAAAGAAUUUGCAUAUUCAAAGACUCUAUAGUUUAUUGUUUAUUUGUAUGUUGUUUAACAUUCUUCUUGAAAAUUUUUAACUCAUAUGGGGAUGCCAACAUUUGCAGGUGGAAAGCUGCAAAUUUUGUCCUUACUUGGAACACAUGGCUAAUUGAGCAAUGAGGGAUCAUUUUGGUGCUAG